rnacentral:rRNA from 1 species
GGGACUUAAGCAUAUCAAUAAGCGGAAAGAACAACAGGGAUUGCCUCAGUAACGGCGAGUGAAGCGGCAAGAGCUCAAAUUUGAAAGCUGGCUCCUUCGGGGUCCGCAUUGUAAUUUGCAGAGGAUGCUUCGGGAGCGGCCCCCAUCUAAGUGCCCUGGAACGGGCCGUCAUAGAGGGUGAGAAUCCCGUCUGGGAUGGGGUGCCCGCGCCCGUGUGAAGCUCCUUCGACGAGUCGAGUUGUUUGGGAAUGCAGCUCUAAAUGGGUGGUAAAUUUCAUCUAAAGCUAAAUACUGGCCGGAGACCGAUAGCGCACAAGUAGAGUGAUCGAAAGAUGAAAAGCACUUUGAAAAGAGAGUUAAACAGCACGUGAAAUUGUUGAAAGGGAAGCGCUUGCGACCAGACUCGCCUGUAGGGUUCAGCCGGCAUUCGUGCCGGUGUACUUCCCUGCGGGCGGGCCAGCGUCGGUUUGGGCGGCCGGUCAAAGGCCCUCGGAAUGUAACGCCCCCCGGGGCGUCUUAUAGCCGAGGGUGCCAUGCGGCCAGCCCGGACCGAGGAACGCGCUCGGCUCGACGCUGAGGUCGUAAGCGACCCGUCUUGACCAC